rnacentral:rRNA from 1 species
UACGAAGGGGGCUAGCGUUGCUCGGAAUCACUGGGCGUAAAGCGCACGUAGGCGGCUUUCUAAGUCAGGGGUGAAAUCCUGGAGCUCAACUCCAGAACUGCCUUUGAUACUGGAGAGCUUGAGUCCGGAAGAGGUGAGUGGAACUCCGAGUGUAGAGGUGAAAUUCGUAGAUAUUCGGAAGAACACCAGUGGCGAAGGCGGCUCACUGGUCCGGUACUGACGCUGAGGUGCGAAAGCGGUGGGGAGCAAACAGG